UACGUAGGGCGCGAGCGUUGUCCGGAAUUAUUGGGCGUAAAGAGCUUGUAGGCGGUUUGUCGCGUCUGCUGUGAAAGCCCGGGGCUUAACCCCGGGUUUGCAGUGGGUACGGGCUAACUAGAGUGCAGUAGGGGAGACUGGAAUUCCUGGUGUAGCGGUGGAAUGCGCAGAUAUCAGGAGGAACACCGAUGGCGAAGGCAGGUCUCUGGGCUGUAACUGACGCUGAGAAGCGAAAGCAUGGGGAGCAAACAGG
rnacentral:ncRNA from 2 species